rnacentral:lncRNA from 1 species
AGGAGGUAUAGGUCAGGCCUAUUGCCCUACCCCAGGUCUAUGUCCUCAUCAUUAGCCCCCGAAUGGAUUGAGGUCCGAGUGAAAAGAAGGUUGAAGUUGACUUUGCUCUGGCUCUUGCUUUCAUCUCCAAAUGGAUGCCAGUUGUUGGAACUUCGGCUUCGUUUCAGUCGCCUUGAUCGAUUCAGAAAUGACCGACUGGUUUUAUAAUGUCAUCCGUCGAGUGUUAUCUUUGACAUGGAAUCUUUGGCGUGAUCGGUUGUAGAGGAUCCUGGAUUUUGCGGGAUUCGAAUUUUGGUGGAAGCGCGCCAGGCGGAGCGCGCCGUGGUAAGCGGAGUGGAUAAGCAGGGCGUUUCGAUUUCCGCACCACCUUUUUCGCCACGUAUCCCGUGUGCGACUGUUAAGGGAUUUGACAGGAUCGCCCGGACCCACGCGUCAGCCACUCGGAAGUAGGCCCUUAAAAGCGGCGAGGCCGAGGCGUCCGCACUGUGCGUGCCCAUGCAUUCUCCCUCUUCUUCCUCUUGCUCCUUUACCCUGUUCGGCUUCUCCACCCUCAACACCACCGCUCCGCCGCCAUGGGGAAGGAGAGAACGGCGACGCUGGAACGCGCGAAGAAGGCGACGGGGGCGGCGAAAAGCAAGAAGACGAAUCGGGGAUCUUCAUCGCGCUCGGGGCUGCCGUCGGGUUGGAUCCAGGGAGAUUGGAUCUGAUCCUCACUUCAGCAGGAAGGCCUAGACGAUAUGGCCAAGCUAGGGCUGAUCAUCCACGAGUCUGCGCGGCUGCCGGAGGGGGAAACGGAGCCACAGUCGCGACCGGGUGAGUGUGUUCUGCUCGCCACCCAUGUCGACCGCGGCUUCUCGCUUCCUCCACACCCCUUCUUUCGAGGUUUCUUGAAUUUCUUCGGGGCUCAACUCCAUCAUUUUACUCCCAACACCAUCACAUAUCUUGCCGCAUUCGUGUCCAUGUGCGAGAAUUUCCUAGGGUGUCGACCGCACUGGGGUCUUUUCAAGCACAUUUUCACUAUCCGCUCCCAAUCAGUGAAGAAAGCGAACUCGAAUGACGAGAAAACCCAUGUUAUCCAGAUGUGUGGGGGUCUGGGUAUUCAGAAGAGGAAGAGGAGUUCCUUCCCUUCGAUGACUCUCCCUGAGUCGGUCAGGGGCUGGCAGUCAACCUGGUUCUAUUGCCAGGAUAUCGCGACCCUGGGCCACUCGACUGGACUUCCCCCUUUCUCUUUUGAUCGUGUUCAGACUCCAUCUUCGUUGAAAGUGACCGUCGCGGAGAAGGCGGAGACGGGCAUGUUGGUGGAGAGGGUAGUUUGACUGAUCAACGAAGGUGUCACCAGCAUGGAUCUACUGGAGGUGUUUCUCAGUCGGCGCAUUCAACCACUCCAAGCUCGUGACCACUCCAUGUGGAUGUACUCCUGGGCUAGUGAUACCGCUCGGGUUCAUCCGGAGGAGGUGACGGCCAAAACGGUGGCCGAGUGGCUGAGCGGCAUCACCGGGAACAAGGACAACCCCAGGGGCGCCAGGAGAGUCAAACCUUUCAGCGACAGCAACCAGCCAGACAAGGUUUGGCCAUUACAACUGAAUGAAUUUGGAUGUGUUUUCUGACUGUUUGUUGAUCCGACUGAUUUCCACUCGGCUACUUGUUUUGUAGAUUUAUACAGAGAUGUACUCAAUGCCCAAUGGCGAACAAGCUCUGGAGCAGUACCAUGAAGGCGAGGAUAGCGCGGAGGAGAGCGGCGAGUGGGAGUCACCUGCCGACGAUGAUGAAGAUGAGAGCGAUGAGUCGGACGACGAGGUGGUAGCCGACUCACCACCUCGUUCUGAACGUCGAUCCAAGCAGCGCCAUGAUCCCGCGGGCAGGCGCGGCAAGGUUGUGGCCUCGAGCGCUCCAUCUCAAAAGCUCGCUCGGUCUUCGACUCCAGAAUUGGCUGAGAAGGUCACCAAGCAGCCCAAGAUCAAUCCUUCGAAGGCUCGGAAGACCUUGCCUAGGAUCAAGAUGGACGUUCCUGUUGCUUCUGGGUAAAUGUUCUCUCCGUAUUUUCUUGUUCUGACCGAUUCUCUUGUACUGACCGAGUGGAUGAUGGACCUUUGCAGCCCGGCCUCGGCUGCGACUGAUAUGGAUAUCGAUGAGACCCCAGACAACGAGGAAACCGACAACGCAGCUACCUCCAAAGCCAGUAAGUUUGCCCGACUCGAGUUUAUUUGGACGACUGGAUUGUUUGUCAGCUAUCUCCUUGACUUUCUCUGUUUGUUGCAGCGCCACGGGACGUUGUUGUGCUCCCGGACGAUGAAGAAGAAGUGCCGCUGAGGGGAAGGAGGAGGAGGGACAAGGAACUGAGCGGGAAAGCGCCUGAGGCCCAGGUUCCUCAGUCGACUGAUACGCCUGGGACGGCCGUCGAGCGAUCGUCAGAUCCGGCACGUACCAACGUCACUUUCGCUAUCCCACUGUUGACUGAUUGCCCAUCAGGAUCAGCUGCUCAGACUUCUAUUGUACCAAUACAACCCCACGCGUCAGACCCAGCGGUUGCUCCGACUGCUCUGCCAUCAUCGCUUUUUACUGCGUAUCAAACCCCGGACGACCCACCGUCUGCCGCCAAGGAAGCUCUUCUUCAGUUGAACCUUGUGAUGGGGCAGAUGAAAGUGGUGCAUGAGGCCAGUCAGGUGGCCUUCAACGCCGGAGCUACUCUGCAGACCAAUGUCCAGGUUAGUUGAUUUCCGAUUGAUCAUAUUUCUCGCCCGAUCACCCACUGGGGUGUGACUAUUUUGAAGUUGCACGAGUCAAUUUGAGUCGUCUUGGAUUGAAUUUUUGAACUAGUGGGGGCACUCUUAGUGCACCCACUGGGUGUAGUCCCCGAGACCAUAGUUGACUGCGGGCAGUCGACUGUGGUCUGAGAAUCUGAAUUUUGUCACUCAGUCUGGACUGGCCAAGUCGAAGGACACCAGAACUAGUGGGGGCACGCGAAGUGCACCCACUGGGUGUAGUCCUCGAGACCGUGGUUGACUGCGGGCAGUCGACUAUGGUCUGAGAACUGUUUUUUUACUCUCGCACUGGGCAGACCAUGUUGAGUUUUUAUUCAAACCAGUGGGGGCACACCAAGUGCACCCACUGGGUGUAGUCCCCAGACUGCCGUUGAAUGUUUGAUUCGGCGGUAGUCUUAGAGUAGCUAUCACUGUGAUGUCUUUUUAUCCUGGUCAAUUGAUAUGACUUAAACUGCGAAAUCUUGUGAUCUUGGGGCUCAGCUUUCCGCAAUGAACAAGCAGCAAAUAAGCCUCAACCUUGAUCUGGAAUUGGCCUAGAAGAAUCUCAAGACUGCUCGUGAUGAAGUAGCUGCCAUGGGAGGUAACCAAUCGACAACUAUCUUUCUCACUGCCGGCCCUUCUCCUUUCCAUUUUUUGAACAGAGUGACUCCACUCGAGCAGAUGUAUGUAGUGAAAACCGUCAACUCCAAGCCCGUCUGAAGAAUGUUAUUUCUUUAGAGAAAAUGAAGCAGGCUUUGGAGAAGAAGGAUCUGGAUCUUGCUGCUGCAUAGAAGGAAGCGCGAGAGAAAACGGCGCUUGCUGACAAGAUGCUUGCUUCAGUCGGUAAGUUAGAAGAGGAGAACUCCAAACUGAAGGCUGCUGUCUCUGACGCCAAUCGGGAGGUCGAGCGACUGAAGAAAGACAAGGACAAGCUGACUGACGAGCUUGGGAGUCUCAAGGCCAAGAAGGGCGAGUUGGAGUCUUAUCUGGGCCAGCUUGCUGCAAAGCUGGUCCUAAAACUUGAAGGUACUGAUGAUUGACUGACUUAUUACGGUCGACUGUCCAGCUUGAUUAUAUCAUCGACUCAUCGUUUACUCGACUGUGCAGACCUUUGCCAAGACUUUGAAGCGGAAACUGGGCGGGUCGAGACGGGUCUUGAUCCCAUAAAUUGUCCAGUCAAGGAUGAUGUUGCGAUGAAUGUGUUGCGGUUGGAAUCUCGCAUGGACAAUGCAGUUGCUUAUCUUGCUCGCCUGAAGGCAGCGAUGACUCGGGUUGAUGCUGAACUCUGGCCUCAGGCGGAACUGUCUCAAGAUCUCGAGUCUCUGAUGGCUCGACUGAAUCAAAUACCUGACCGAGUGCAAGAGUGGAAGAAGUCAUCUACUCGCUAUGGCGCUGAUGUCGCAUCGUCCUUGGUCCGAGUGCACUGCAAAGACGUCAAAGAAGACAAGCUGGCGGAGCUCAAGGUUGCUAACACAAAGAGGCACACCUUCCAAUCCUUCAUGGACACUUUUCUUGACGCUGCCACUCGCAUUGCAGACAACAUAGACCUUGACAGUUUCUGCGACCCAGCCAGUCCUUCUCCUGACGUGUGACCGAAAAACAUUAUGCUCCACUUUUAUGUGCCUCGGGAUGCCGAGUGAUUGUGUAAUCGUUAAACUUCUUCGGGCUUGGUGCUCGAAUACUUUUGAUCCAUCGUCCGAAACUUUAGGAUUUAUCUGAACUUGGUUUAUCUCUAAAUAUGCUUGUGUUUGCCUUCAAGUGGAUUUGGCUCUUCACUCGGAAUAAUCUUUGUACUUGAGAUGCAGCUCUGAGGAGGAGAUCCUAGUCGACCUGUACCUCGUCGUCCUUGCGGACGAGGAUGGAGCGUACGUUAUACUUGUGGCGCAGCUCCGAAGGAGAAGGUUACAGUCGACCUGUACCUCGUCGUCCUUGCGGAUAGGGUAGGAGCACACGUUGUACUUGUGGCGCAACUCUGAAGGAGAAGGUUGCAGUCGACCUGCACCUCGUCGUCCUUGCGGAUAGGGAUGGAGCACACAUUGUACUUGUGGCGCAGCUCCGAAGGAGAAGGUUGCAGUCGACCUGCACCUCGUCAUCCUUGCGGAUAGGGAUGGACUUCGAACUUAGGCGAGUACUAGACUGCAGCUAAGCCCCUGAGUGGGAGGGUUGCUCACCACUCGGUAGGGUUUUACAAACUUAGGCGAGUACUGGACUGCAGCUAAGCCCCCGAGUGGGAGGGUUGCUCACCACUCGGUAGGGUUUUACAAACUUAGACGAGUACUGGACUGCAGCUAAGCCCCCUAGUGGGAGGGUUGCUCACUACUCGGUAGGAUUUUUCAAACUUAGGCGAGUACUGGACUGCAGCUAAGCCCCCGAGUGGGAGGGUUGCUCACCACUCGGUAGGGUUUUUCAAACUUAGGCGAGUUCUGGACUGCAGCUAAGCCCCCGAGUGAGAGGCUUGCUCAUCACUCGGUGGGAUUUUUCAAACUUACACGAGUACUGGACUGCAGCUAAGCCCCCGAGUGAGAGGCUUGCUCAUCACUCGGUAGGAUUUUUCAAACUUAGGCGAGUACUGGACUACAGCUAAGCCCCCGAGUGAGAGGCUUGCUCAUCACUCGGUGGGAUUUUUCNNNNNNNNNNNNNNNNNNNNNNNNNNNNNNNNNNNNNNNNNNNNNNNNNNNNNNNNNNNNNNNNNNNNNNNNNNNNNNNNNNNNNNNNNNNNNNNNNNNNNNNNNNNNNNNNNNNNNNCCGCAGCUAAGCCCCCGAGUGAGAGGCUUGCUCAUCACUCGGUAGGAUUUUUCAAACUUAGGCGAGUACUGGGCUGCAGCUAAGCCCCCGAGUGAGAGGCUUGCUCAUCACUCGGUAGGAUUUUUCAAACUUAGGCGAGUACUGGACCGCAGCUAAGCCCCCGAGUGAGAGGCUUGCUCAUCACUCGGUAGGAUUUUUCAAACUUAGGCGAGUACUGGACUUCAGGUAAGCCCCCGAGUGAGAGGCUUGCUCAUCACUCGGUAGNNNNNNNNNNNNNNNNNNNNNNNNNNNNNNNNNNNNNNNNNNNNNNNNNNNNNUUUCAAACUUAGGCGAGUACUGGACUGCAGCUAAGCCCCCGAGUGAGAGGCUUGCUCAUCACUCGGUGGGAUUUUUCAAACUUAGGCGAGUACUGGACUGCAGCUAAGCCCCCGAGUGGGAGGGUUGCUCACCACUCGGUAGGAUUUUUCAAACUUAGGCGAGUUCUGGACUCCAGCUAAGCCCCCGAGUGAGAGGCUUGCUCAUCACUCGGUGGGAUUUUUCAAACUUAGGCGAGUACUGGACUGCAGCUAAGCCCCCGAGUGAGAGGCUUGCUCAUCACUCGGUGGGAUUUUUCAAACUUAGGCGAGUACUAGACUGCAGCUAAGCCCCCGAGUGGGAGGGUUGCUCUCCACUCAGUAGGAUUUUACAAACAUAGGCGAAACGGAUUCGCGGCUAAGUCCCCGAGUGAGAGGCUUGCUCACCACUCGGUAGGAUUUUUCAAACUUAAGCAAAACGGAUUCGCGGCAAAGUCACCCACUGGGGAAUUUCAGACGUAAACAAAAGUAACAACAACCAUUUACGAAGACUGUAAAGCUCUUGUCUUUGAUAAACAAACUACAAAGGUACUUCUUAUUACAUCUCAUCCGAAUGAGUACUUAAGUAUAAAAGGGGCGGAGCAGCUCCGCGUUCCAAGCCCGUGGCUCGUCUUUCUGAUGCUCGACAUUGUAAAGAUGGUAUGCUCCAUUGUGGAGAACUCUGGUGACAAUGAAGGGACCUUCCCAAGCAGGGGCGAGCUUGUGUGGUUUCUGCUGAUCGACUCGAAGAACCAAGUCUCCCUCUUGAAAGGCUCGGCCCCUCACGUUUCUGGCAUGGAAUCAACGCAAGUCUUGCUGAUAAAUGGUCGAUUAGAUUAAGGCCAUCUCUCUUUCCUCCUCUAGGAGAUCGACUACGUCCUGCCGGGCCUGUUCUGCUUCAUCUUCAGAGAAGAGCUCGACUCGGGGUGCAUUGUGAAGCAAGUCACUCGGUAGAACAGCUUCAGCUCCAUAAACCAAGAAGAAUGGAGUUCGACCAGUCGACCGAUUGGGAGUUGUCCUCAAUCCCCAAAGAACUGAUGGAAGUUCAUCGACCCAGGCGCCUGCUGCGUGUUUGAGAUCACGCAUCAGUCGGGGGUUCAGUCCUUUGAGAAUCAAGCCAUUUGCUCUUUCUGCUUGUCCAUUCGACUGGGAGUGGGCGACUGAAGCAUAGUCGACUCGCGUGCCUUGGGAAGCACAGAAGGCUCUGAACUCAUCAGAAUCGAAGUUCGACCCGUUGUCAGUGAUGAUGAUAUGCGGAACUCCAUAUCUGAAUGUCAAUUCUCUGAUGAAGCUGACGGCAGUACUGGCUUCAAGAUUCUUGAUAGGCUUGGCUUCAAUCCACUUGGUAAACUUGUCGACUGCUACAAGCACAUGAGUGAAGCCGCUCCUACCAGUCCUCAGGGGUCCAACCAUAUCCAACCCCCAAACGGCAAAGGGCCAGACGAGUGGAAUAGUCUUCAGGGCUGACGCAGGCUUGUGGGACAUAUUGGAGUAAAACUGGCAGCCUUCACAUUUGUCGACUAUAUCUUUCGCCAUUUCAUUUGCUCGUGGCCAAUAAAAUCCGGCUUGGUAUGCUUUGGCCAUAAUGGUCCGAGAGGACGCAUGAUGACCACAGGUCCCCGAGUGGAUGUCGUUGAGGAUCACUCGACCUUCUUCUGGUGUGAUGCAUUUCUGGCUGACUCCAGUUACACUUUCCCUAAACAUUUGUCCUUUUAUCACAGUAAAGGCUUUGGAUCGACGGACGAUCUGUCGAGCCUCUUCUUCAUCCUCUGGGAGUUCUUUCCUAAGGAUAUACGUAAUGUAUGGCACUGUCCAGUUGGGAGUGAUGACCAAAACCUCCAUGAUCAUGUCGACCACGGCUGGGACUUCGACUUCAGUCGGAUCUGUGGCGCUCUUAGGCUGCGGGGGCUCUUCAGUGAAAGGAUCUUCUUGAACUGAAGGUGUAUGAAUGUGUUCCAAAAACACGUUGCUGGGAAUGGCUUCCCUCUUGGAACCUAUCUUUGCCAAAUCAUUGGCUGCUUGAUUUUUCAGUCAGGGUAUAUGAUGGAGCUCUAACCCCUCAAACUUCUUUUCCAACUUCCUCACCGCAUUGUAGUAACCAGUCAUAGCUGGGCUUCUGACGUCGCACUCCUUCAUCACUUGAUUGACUACCAAAUCUGAGUCACCGUAGACCAUGAGGCGACGGACGCUGAGUGAGAUGGCCAUACGUAACCCAUAUAAGAGUGCUUCAUAUUCCGCUUCGUUAUCGGAGGAAUCAAAGUGAAUCUGGAGAACAUAUCUGAGCUUGUCUCCUCGGGGGGAUACCAGUACCACCCCAGCACCGGAACCAUUUAGCAUCUUGGAACCAUCAAAGAACAUGGUCCAGUGCUCCGAGUGGACUUGAGUCGGCAGUUGCUGUUCGAUCCACUCGGCGAGGAAAUCUGCUAUUGCUUGGGACUUGAUAGCUUACUUUGCCUCAAACUUGAUAUCCAAGGGAAGAAGUUCAAUCGCCCACUUUGCCACUCGACCAGUUGCAUCUCUAUUGUUCAGAAUCUCUGAUAAUGGAGCGUCACUGACGACUGUAAUGGAGUGGUCAGAGAAAUAAUGUGCAACCUUCUUCGUGGUCAUAUAAAUCCCAUAAACAAGCUUCUGAUAAUGUGGAUAUCUUUGCUUUGAUGGAGUCAAAACUUCAGAAACAUAAUAUACUGGGCGCUGAACUUUAUAGGCUUUUCCUUCUUCUUCCCGCUCGACCGUAAGUACUGUACUGACGACUUGUCCAGUGGCUGCAAUGUAAAGCAGUAAAGGCUCUUUGCUGAUUGGGGCAGCAAGCACCGGCUGGGUGGAAAGCAGGGCUUUGAGCUCUACAAAUGCUGCAUCAGCUUCAGGAGUCCACUCGAACUUAUCAGACUUCUUCAUCAGUCGGUAAAGAGGCAAUGCCUUUUCACCGAGGCGAGAAAUGAAUCGACUUAAGGCGGCCAAACAACAUGUAAGCUUCUGAACAUCGUGCACACGCACAGGGCGUUUCAUUCGAAGAAUGGCACCAACUUUCUCUGGGUUAGCGUCGAUCCCUUGUUCGAAAACGAGAAAACCGAGUAAUUUUCCGCCUGAAACUCUGAAUGUGCACUUUGAUGGAUUAACCUUGAUAUCAUACCUUCUGAGGUUGACAAAAGUUUCAGCAAGGCCAGCCAGCAGGUCGGAACCUUUAUGUGACUUGACCACAAUGUCAUCCAUGUAUGCUUCCACAUUCCAACUGAUUUGAGUGAGUAAACACUUCUGGAUCAUCCUCGUGAAUGUAGCUCCAGCAUUCUUCAGGCCGAAUGGCAUGGUGACAUAACAGGAGCACCCAAAUAGAGUGAUGAAAGCUGUUUUUAUCUCAUCGGGUCCAUACAGUCGGAUCUGAUGAUACCCGGAAUAAGCGUCCAAAAAGGACAAGCGCUCACACCCUGCAGUCGAGUCGACUAUUUGAUCGAUGCGGGGUAGAGGAAAGUGAUCUUUCGGGCAGGCCCGAUUGAUAUGCUUGAAGUCAAUGCACAUGCGAAGUGAGUCGUCCUUCUUGGAGACCAUGACAACAUUGGCUAGCCACUCGGAGUGGUAAAUCUCUCGGAUAAACUCAGCUGCUAGGAGCCGAGCUACUUCUUCACCGAUCGCUUUUCUCUUCUGUACGGCGGACAGUCGAAGAUGUUCUUUGACUAGUUUCACUUUUGGGUCGACUCGCAAACGGUGCUCAGCCAGCCCCCUGGGAACACCCGGCAUGUCAGAAGGUUUCCAUGCAAAGAUGUCCCAGUUCUCACGGAGGAACUGGAUGAGCGCUUCUUCCUAUUUGGAGUCGAGCGUUGUCGAAAUGUGAGUCGGAGCAGCAUUGGGAUCGGUCGGGUGAAUAUGAAUCGGCUUCGUUUCACCAGACGACCGAAAUGCUAAAUCCGUGGCAGGCUUCUUUGCUCGCAACAAAUCACUCGGAUCUGUGUUCUUUUGAUACUCUUGCAAUUCCACUACUGCCAUUUGUGCAUCGGCGAUCUUUGAGCCCUUCUGGAAGCACUCUUCUGCCUUCUUCCGAUUGCCAGUGAUAGUGAUCACUCCUUUGGGACCAGGCAUCUUCAAUUUGAGGUACACGUAGCAUGGUCGACCAUAAAACGUGCAUAAGCCGGCCUGCCCAGGAUAGCAUGAUAAGCACUCUGGAAAUCGACGACUUCAAACCUCAACUUUUCUUUGCGGUAAUUCUUGGAAUCACCGAAAACCACAUCAAGGGCGAUCUGGCCGAGUGAUUCAGCCUUCUUGCCAGGAAUAACUCCAUGGAAACUCAUAUGGCUUUCACUGAGUCUGGACAUCGGAAUGCCCAUUCCUUUCAAGGUCUCUGCAUACAGUAUAUUCAGGCCGCUGCCACCAUCCAUCAGAACCUUAGUCAACCGAGUGCCUUCGACGACUGGGUCGACCACCAACGCUUGCCUCCCAGGGGUGGCUAUGUGUGUUGGGUGAUCAGAGUGGUCGAAUGUAAUGGCAAUCUGAGACCACUUCAAAUAACUGGGCGUCGCUGGGGCGACGAUGUUCACUUCUCUGUUGAUGACUUUCAAUCGACUUUUGCUCUCAACAUCAGCAAAAAUCAUCAGAGUUGAAUUGACGUGGGGGUAACCAUCAUCGUCCUCUUCCUUAUCCUCAACCUUGUCUGAUUCUUUCUCCUUCUCUUUGGGUUGUUUCUCUCGGAAUUGCUGGAUUAGGAGACGACAUUGUCGAGUGGUAUGCUUCGGGUAAAUGAGAUUACUGGCCUCCUCAUCUUUUUUGAUGUGAAUGUGGCACGGUAAAUCCAACACAUCAUUUCUAUCUUGAUCUUUUACCUUCUUGGGGUUCCAUGGCCCUUUGGGCUUCCCCUUGAACUUUCCUUGAGUCACGGCUAAGGCUUCUCCGGGAGCAGCUGGCUCGGCUUUGCGCUUCUGCUUCCGACUGGAGUUCCCUCCCCCGGUUUCGUGGGCGACUGUUUUGUGCUUGCCACUCCGGAGCCGAUCCUCCUCUUCACCAUUAGCAUACUUGGUGGAAAUUUCCAUCAUUCGACUCAGAGACAUAUCUCCAGUCCGACCAAACUUCAGAUUCAAUUCCCGAUACUUGACGCCUUCCUUGAAGGCACAAACUGCUUGGCGAUCAGACACAUUCUCCACCGUGUGGUGCAACGUGAUCCAUCUCUGGAUAUAAUCUCUCAAAGUUUCAUUUGACUUCUGCAUUCAAGACUGUAGCUCUAUCAGCCCUGCUGGCCGUUUGCAUGUACCUUCAAAUAUUCUAACAAAUACUCGGGCAAGCUCUUCCCAGCUAUAAAUACUGCCAGGUGCUAGCUGAUUCAACCACGCUCUGGCCGAGCCCUCUAACAUUAGAGGAAGGUGCUUCAUGGCCACUUCAUCAUUACCACCACCAAUCUGCACAGCCACUCGGUAGUCUUCAAACCAAGUGUUAGGCUUGGAUUCACCAGUGAACUUGCUGACUCCAGUCGCCAACCUGAAGUUGGGAGGAAUCACUGCUGCUCUAAUGGCUCUGUUGAAACACUCGGGACCUGAAACAUGCACCGUGCUGCCGGUCGGGUAAUCUCUAUCGUGGCCAUCUCUGUGUGCUCUGUUCCUGUCAACCAGACCUUGAACGAGAAUGGAUCUCGCGUCAAAGCCCGGCUCCCGGGGGUCGACUGGAAUCCUUCGCCCACCACUGUGAGGGCGUCUGUCCUCGUGUUGCCGAGGCGCGUAUGACCCACUCCUUGGGGGAGGCGUGGGUACUCGACGAUGAUCGUACUGCUCAUGGUUCCUGUACUGAUCCUGUCGAUCUCCACGUCCCUCACGCCUUGGAGGCGAUCUCGAGCUGUGAGCCGACUGAACUGUAUCUCCCAUCACAGACCUACUAUGAAUCCUAUUCUGAGACUGUGACACAGCUGUGUUCUGCUCCCCCGCCGCCCGGAGCAAAGCCCUGAUCUGCAUCAAACCCCUACCAGCCUCCAACUGGGAAGGCUAAAUCGACUCUGCUAUUCGGGCAGCAGCUGUGAGAUUCUGGAUCGGAGUUUGAUAUACCUGGGUUGGAGGCGGAAAGAGUUGACGUCGACUGGAUUCAGGAACUCGCUGCCGAGCAUGCUCGUCGAGUGCAUGCUGGAGAUUCUCCAGUCGAGUGCGCUCAGCCAAGUUGGCCAGGCGCACCUCCUCCAAGGCCCGGGCCUUGGGGGUUUCUCCAACGAUAGGAGUGUGAAGUGCAUCCAUGUUACGGCGGCGAAGCUCUUCCCUCUGCUGUGAAGAGAGGGGCUCGGGGCGGUACUCCUCGUGGGAACGCGACGGAUCGCCUCCGCCAUCACCACCGUCGACGCGGGGGAAGCCAGGAGGACUGCGCGGUCCGUUGACCAUCAGGACUUCCGCGCAAGGCCACUGCUGUCGCACUCGGAUGCGGUCUCAACGGAGCCAGUCGAACAGGCCGUAGAGAGUUUCGUCGAGCUCGAUUGCCGUGACUUGAGGGGUGGCCGACUGGCGAGCCACCGCGUGCCUCGCCCACCGCUAGAGCCUCGACCUACCGGAACGCUUGUGCCGGCGGGUUGCAGGGAGUGAAGACGCCAAAGGAGCCGACCGAUACUGGGUCGACGGCUGCCGCAGGAGGACGCCGCGGACACACGCGCGAAAGUGCGUUGCCCCGCGGACGGGGAGCGCCUCGAUGUCGAGUGGAGCCUCUUGGAGCCAAGCGGAGUCGUCUGCGACGAACACGAGCGCGCCGAGACGGAUCUCGCGGCCCUCGGUCAAUCCUCCGCCCGAAACCAUGCUGAUGGGGAUCGGAAAAAUUGCAACUUCUCCAACAAGUCGCUAAAACACCUGCCCCACGGUGGGCGCCAACUAUCGUGGUUCUAAGUCUGACAGUAGAAGGGGGGGUAGGGAUUAAAGGCAAGGUCCUAGCUAUGGAGAAGCUGUACGCACGAGUUUUACGAGUUCAGGCCCUUCUCGGAGGAAGUAACAGCCCUACGUCUCGGAGCCCGGAGGCGGUCGACUGGAUUAUAUGCGUGUGUGUUACAGGGGGUGCGAACCCUUGUGCCAGUGGAGGGGGUGGCUUAUAUAGAGUGCGCCAGGACCCCGGCCAGCCCACGUUACAAGGAGUUCAAUGUUCAUAAAGCAGGAGCGUUACAGGUAACGUCUGUAGUAAAGUAAUAUAAAUGACUAUUAAGUCUAAGAGUAAAUGCCCGACCGUUGCUGCGCGGAGUGGCUUUAGGUCUUCUGCAUGUCGAGUGCUUUAGUGGUCGAGUGACAGAAACAAAGGGGGGUCUCCGAGUGAAUGGUAGGUCGAGUGGAUUACACUCGACACCUUUGUUGGGUCCCCUCUAUUUACUCUUGAACCUCUUUGCUUCUAGGACAAGGACCUUAGGUAGGAGGUAUAGGUCAGGCCUAUUGCGCUACCCCAGGUCUAUGUCCUCAUCAGGUUCCCAUCUUUAUUUUUUAUUUUUUAAACUUUAUAAAAGCACACAACAGAAAUAAAUGACUCUGUAAAACUUCCGGGUUGUCUCCGUGGCAGCGCUUUCUUUAAAGCCAUUAAGCUAGGCAUAUAGUGCUCAAGUAAUAGAUCCACCCGGAUCCCAAGGUAUAUCAAAGACAAUUUUAAUUAACAAUGAUUUGUAAUUUAGUAGUGAGCACAGAGCAACAUAUAUCAUGCAACAACGAAGUCUAACUCUCUUCCUAUGCAUCGGCAUGUCAUAAAAGAACAAUUCAUGCACGCAGAGUAAAGGCUAAUGCAUAGUAUAAGCAGUUUCUUGCAAUUCUAUCGUGUUGGAAAUAUAGAGAGGUGGAGAUAUAGUUCCUCUCUCAUAGUAACUGCAAGUAGGAGCAGCAAGCACAUGCAUAUUAUAUCUAUCAAAAUCAUCAUGUGCAACGGUAAAAGGCAACCCAUCAAUAUAAUCGUUAAUAAGUGCAAACUUCUCCGAUAUAGUGUAGUUGGGAGAAUUCAAAAAGAUAAUAGGACUAUCAUGCGUGGGUGCAAUAGCAACAAUUUCAUGUCUAACAUAAGGAACUAUAGCAAGUUCAUCUCCAUAAGCAUAAUUCAUAUUGGCAUCUUGGCCACAAGCAUAGCAAGCAUCAUCAAAAAGCGGUAUUUCAAGAGAAUCAACGGGAUCAUAACAAUCAUCAUAGCAAUCAUCCUUCGGUAAGCACGAAGGGAAAUUAAACAAUGUAUGAGUUGAAGAGUUACUCUCAUUAGAAGGUGGGCACGGGUAGCUGAUCCACUCUUCCUCCUUUUGUUCUUCGCUCUCCUCAUCAUCUUUUUCAUCCAAUGAGCUCACAGUUUCAUCCAUUUCUUCUUCCAUAGACUCCUGCAAAAUAUUAAUCUCUUCUUGGACAGCGGAGGAGUCCUCAGUAUAUGGUUUAACAUAGGCAUUAGAAGCAUAAUUAUCAUAACAAUAUUUAAGUAUGGCAAAAUUUUCAGAUUUGUAAAGAGUAGCACCAUACUUUCCAAUCAAAGAAGCAAUUUCAUAAGCACCCUUAAAAGCAACAAAUUCUUCAAUUUGUUGAACAUCAUAGUAAUUAUAAACACCCUUAGCAUAUGAAGAUACGAUUCCAUUAUCACUAAACAAACAUUGGUAGGGAAGGUGUUUCUUAGGGUCUUCAGAACAACAAGUAAUAUCAUAUAUCUCACAUAAAUUCCAGGCAUAGCAUUGCAAACGAUGAAUUUGAUCCAGUAAAAGUUUCCCUUUUUUAGAUAUGCGGUGUAGCACAUAACAAGCAUGCUCAUCUAAAGAUUUGCCCUCAACUAAGCUAGUUGGGGUUUCAGCACGAGCACAUAGGGAUCGAAGAUGAUCCAAGUAAAAAAGCUUCAGGAGUGUGAUAGAUUUGAGUGGUUCUUCAACCAUUGGUUCAGUAGGUACAACUAUUUUUUUUGGUAUUUUGCGUUUCCUACCCAUAACUAAAGAUAGAAAACAACUAAGAACAGCAAAUAAAAAUUACUUAGUGAUAAAGCAAACAAGCACACACGAGAAUAUUCACCCCACGCUAUGACUCCCCGGCAACGGCACCAGAAAAAGGUCUUGAUAACCCACAAGUAUAGGGGGUCAAUUGUAGCCUCUUUCGAUAAGUAAGAGUGUUGAACCCAACGAGGAGCUAAAGGUAGAACAAAUAUUCCCUCAAGUUCUAUCGACCACCGAUACAACUCUACGCACGCUUAACGUUCGCUUUACCUAGAACAAGUAUGAAACUAGAAGUACUUUGUGGGUGUUUUUGGAUAGGUUUGCAAGAAUACAAAGAGCACGUAAAUAAAAAGUUGGGGCUGUUUAGAUAAAGACACAAUAAAGUAAAUAUAGCGAGUGUGGAAAAGUGGUGGUAGGAGUUGCGAAAUUGUCCCUUAAGCAAUUGACUACUUUACUAGACCGAUAGCAAGUUUUAUGUGGGAGAGGCCACUGCUAGCAUGUCAUCCCUGACUUGGAAUUCUAUGCACUUAUGAUUGGAACUAUUAGCAAGCGUCCGCAACCACUAACAUUCAUUAAGGUAAAACCCAACCAUAGCAUUAAGAUAUAUUGGUCCCCCUUCAAUCCCGUAUGCAUCAAUUUCUAUGCUAGGUUGAAGCUUCUGUCACUCUUGCCCUCCAAUACAUAGUCCUAUCAACAUACAACUAACCCUAUGGUGUGAUCCACGCGUGCGCUCAUAUGAUGGGCACCAAAGGACAGCAACAUAACCACAAGCAAAUUAAAUCAAUCAUAGCAAUUCAUCAACCACCGAUAGGACAACGAAAAUCUACUCAGACAUCAUAGGAUGGCAACACAUCAUUGGAUAAUAAUAUGAAGCAUAAAGCACCAUGUUCAAGUAGAGGGUACAGCGGGUUGCGGGAGAGUGGACCGCUGUAGAUAGAGGGGAGAAGGUGAUGGAGAUGUUGGCGAAGAUGGCGGAGGUGUUGGUGAAGAUCGCGGUGAUGAUGAUGGUGGCCACGACAGCGUUCCGGCACCACCGGAAGAGAGGGGGAGAGGGGCCCCCUUCUUCUUCUUCUUCUUCCUUGACCUCCUCCCUAGAUGGGAGAAGGGUUUCCCCUCUAGUCCUUGGCCGCCAUGGCAUGGGAGGGGCGAGAGCCCCUCCGAGAUUGGAUUUGUCUCUCUGUCUCUCUCUGUUUCUGCGCUCCUCUCUUCUGCCCUUUCACCGUUUCGUAUAUAUAUGGAGAUCCGUAACUCCGAUUGGAUUGAAACCUUCGCCCAGAUUUUUCUCCUAAAAUUAGCUUCCUUGUGGCCAAAGGAGAGCAGCAACCGCCUUACAGGUGGCCCACGAGGGGGGCAGGCGCGCCCCCUGCCUCGUGGCCACCUCGGGCACCGUCUCGCGUUGAUUCUUCUUCCCAUAUUCUCCAAAUAUUCCAAAAAUAUUCUCCGUCCGUUUUUAUCCUGUUUGGAUUUCGUUUGAUAUAGGGUUUCUGCAAAAUAUAAAACAUGCAACAAACAGGAACUGGCACUAGGCACUGGAUCAAUAUGUUAGUCCCAAAAAUAGUAUAAAAAGUUGCCAAAAAGUAUAUGAAAGUUGUAUAGUAUUGGCAUGGAACAAACAAAAAUUAUAGAUACGACGGAGAUGUGUCAAUGUGCAAUGAUCUAGCGUAACAUGUAUGAAAAAUGAUGCACGGUGGCUGAGCCACAACUACUAUGUCAGCUACAUGAUCAUGCAAAGCUAUAUGACAAUGAAUGCUCAAGUCAUCAAACGGAAGCGGUGGAAGUUGCAUGGCAAUAUAUCUCGGAAUGGCCAUGGAAAAGCCAUAAUAGGUAGGUAUGGUGGCAGUUUUGAGGAAGAUAUAAUAAGGCUUAUGUGUGAUAGAGCGUAUCAUAUCACGGGGUUUGGAUGCACCUGCGAAGUUUGCACCACGUCUCGAUGUGUGAAAGGGAAAUGCACGGUACCGUAGAGGCUAGCAAAUUGCGAAAAGGUAAGAGUGCGUAUAAUCCAUGGACUCACAUUAGUCAUAAAGAACUCAUAUACUUAUUGCAAAAGUUUAUUAGCCCUUGAGGCAAAGUACUACUACGCAUGCCCCUAGGGGGAUAGAUUGGUAGGAAAAGACCAUCGCUCGUCCCCGACCGCCACUCAUAAGGAAGACAAUCAAUAAUAAAUCAUGCUCCAACAUCAUAGCAUAACGAGAGACUAUAUGUGCAUGCUUCGGGAAUCACAAACCUUAACACCAUUAUUCUUACUAACCACAACCGUUUACUAGUACCUCCCACAUAUUAUCAUCUCUAUAUCGCAAAACUAUUGCAAGGAAUCAAACAUAUCAUAUUCAGUGAUCCAUAAGUUUUAUGUAGGAUUCAUAACUAACCAUGCAAUUGACCAAUUCCUGUUGACUCUCUAAAUAGAUCUAAGUGAAGCAUGAGAGUUUAAUUCUUUCUACAAAAGAUCAUGCUCUAAUAAAUAUAAGUGAAGCAAAAGAGCAUUCUUCAAACAACGGUUUUCUAUGUGAAGAGAAACAGGCAAUCCAAACUUCAAAUGAUAUAAGUGAAGCACAUGAAGCAUUCUACAAGGCCAUACUCAAAAGAUAUAAGUGAAGUGCAAUGAGCCUUCUAUAAAUCAACCAUGGACUAUCUCAUACCAGCAUGGUGCAUAAAAGAAAAAUGAAAACUAAAAGCAAAAGACGCUCCAAGAUUUGCACAUAUCGCAUGAACGAAACGAAUCCGAAAACAUACCGAUACUUGUUGAAGAAAGAUGGGAUGCCUUCCGGGGCAUCCCCGAGCUUAGACGCUUGAGUCUCCUUGAAUAUUUACUUGGGUUGCCUUGGGCAUCCCCAAGCUUGAGCUCUUGCCUCUCCUCCUUCUCCUCACAUCGAGACCUCCUCGAUCUUCGAACACUUCAUCCACACAAAAUUCAACAGAAAGUUCGGUAAGAUCCGUUAGUAUAAUAAAGCAAAUCACUACUCUAAGUACUGUUGCAAACCAAUUCAUAUUUUUUUUGCAUUGUAGCUACUGUAAUAUAACUUUUCCAUGGCUUAAUCCACUAAUAGAAUCGAUAGUUUCAUCAAAACAAGCAAAACAAUGCAUCAAAAACAGAAUCUGUCUUAAACAGGACAGUCUGUAGUAAUCUGAACAUUCACCAUACCUCUGGUACUCCAAAAAUUCUGAAAAAGAUAGGGAAAAUAAACAAUUUGUAUAGAAAGACAGUGCAAAAUGCUUCAGAACUGUUUCACGUUCCAGUAAAAAAAUGUAAAAUCGCGCACUACAGCCAAAGUUUAUGUUUUGCACCGCACAAACCAACAAGCAAUCUAAACAUCCUAAAGGAAAACCUUGGCACAUUAUUUUUAUAAUACAAUGGAAUUGUACAAGGGGAUAAUUAUUUUUGUGAGAAUUUUCAUGAAAAAUUCUACUUUGUUUCCAUGAGCAUGAACACAAGUGUUCAAGGUCGACCCUCACUUCUCCAAUGCAUAACUUCCAAUCGCUUCUCUUUUGUGAAAAAGUUUUAAGUUCCCCUCUAUAUUUUUUUGUUUUUAAACUUUAUAAAAGCACUCAACAGAAAUAAAUGACUCCCUAAAACUUCCGGUUGUCUCCCUGGCAGCGCUUUCUUUAAAGCCAUUAAGCUAGGCAUAAAGUGCUCAAGUAAUGGAUCCACCCGGAUCCCAAGGUAUAUCAAAGCCAAUUUUAAUUAACAAUGAUUUGGCAUUUAGUAGUGAGCACAAAGCAACAUAUAUCAAGUAAUAACGAAGUCUAACUCUCUUCCUAUGCAUCGGCAUGUCAUACAAGAACAAUUCAUGCACAUCAAGUAAAGGCCAAUGCAUAGUAUAAGCAACUUCUUGCAAUUCUAUCGUGUUGGAAGCAUAAAGAGGCGGAGAUGUAGUUCCUCUCUCUCAUAAUAAUUGCAAGUAGAAGUAGCGAGCACAUGCAUAUUAUAUUCAUCAAAAUUAUCAUGUGAAACGGUAAAAGGCAACCCAUCCAUGUAGUCCUUAAUAAGUGCAAACUUCUCCGAUAUAGUGUAGUUUGGAGAAUUCAAAAGGAUAAUAGGACUAUCAUGUGUGGGUGCAAUAUCAACAAUUUUAUUCUUAACAUAAGGAACUAUGGCAAGUUCAUCUCCAUAAGCAUAAUUCAUAUUGGCAUCAUGGCCUGAUACGUCUCCAACGUAUCUAUAAUUUUUUAUUGUUCCAUGCUAUUAUAUUAUCUGUUUUGGAUGUUUAAUGGACUUUAAUAUGCUCUUUUAUAUUAUUUUUGGGACUAACCUAUUAACCGGAGGCCCAGUGCCAGUUUCUGUUUUUUUGCCUAUUUUAGAGUUUCGCAAAAAAGGAAUACCAAACGGAAUGAAACCUUCGCGAGGAUCUUUCUUGGACCGAAAGCAAACUAGAAGACUUGGAGAUGAAGUCGGAGACACAACGAGGCGGCCAUGAGGCAGGAGGGUGCGCCCAGGGGGUAGGCGUGCCCCCACCCUCAUGGGCCCCUCGUAGCUCCACCGACGUACUUCUUUCGCCUAUAUAUACUCUUAUACCCUAGAUCGAUCAGAGAGAGCCACGAAACCACUUUUCCACCGCCGCAAGCUUCUGUACCCGUGAGAUACCAUCUUGGGGCCUUUUCCGGCGAUCUGCCGGAGGGGGAAUCGAUCACAGAGGGCUUCUACAUCAGCACCAUAGCCUCUCCGAUGAAGCGUGAGUAGUUUACCACAGACCUUCGGGUCCAUAGUUAUUAGCUAGAUGGCUUCUUCUCUCUCUUUGAUUCUCAAUACAAAGUUCUCCUUGAUGUUCUUGGAGAUCUAUUCGAUGUAAUACUCUUUUGCGGUGUGUUUGCCGACAUCCGAUGAAUUGUGUAUUUAUGAACUUGAUUAUCUAUGAAUAUUAUUUGGUUCUUCUCUGAAUUCUUAUAUGCAUGAUUUGAUAUCUUUGCAAGUCUCUUCGAAUUAUCGGUUUAGUUUGGCCUACUAUAUUGAUCUUUCUUGCAAUGGGAGAAGUGCUUAGCUUUGGGUUCAAUCUUGCGGUGUCCUUUCCCAGUGACAGUAGGGGCAGCAAGGCACGUAUUGUAUCAUUGCCAUCGAGGAUAGGAAGAUGGGGUUUAUAUCAUAUUACUUGAGUUUAUCCCUCUACAUCAUGUCAUCUUGCUUAAAGCGUUACUCUGUUCUUAUGAACUUAAUAUUCUAGAUGCAUGCUGGAUAGCGGUCGAUGUGUGGAGUAAUAGUAUUAGAUGCAGAAUCGUUUCGAUCUACUUGACACGGACGUGAUGCCUAUAUUCAUGAUCAUUGUCUUAGAUAUCUUCAUAACUAUGCGUUUUUCUAUCAAUUGCUCGGCAGUAAUUUGUUCACCCACCGUAAUACAUGCUAUCUUGAGAGAAGCCAGUAGUGAAACCUAUGGCCCCCGGGUCUCUUUCUUAUUAUAUUGCAUCUCUUUUAUUUACAUCGCAUCUCAUUUACUAUUUUGCAAUCUUUACUUUACAAUCUAUACAACAAAAAUACAAAAAAUAUUUACUUUACUAUCUUUAUUAGAUCUCACUUUUGCGAGUGACCGUGAAGGAAUUGACAACCCCUUUAUCGCGUUGGUUGCAAGGUUCUUGAUUGUUUGUGCAGGUACUAGGUGACUUAUGCGUUGUCUCCUACUGGAUUGAUACCUUGGUUCUCAAAAACUGAGGGAAAUACUUACGCUACUUUGCUGCAUCACCCUUUCCUCUUCAAGGGAAAACCAACGCAUGCUCAAGAGGUACCAAGAAGGAUUUCUGGCGCCGUUGCGGGGAGAUCUACGCCAAGUCAAGACAUACCAAGUACCCAUCAUAAACUCUUCUCCCUCGCAUUACAUUAUUUUCCAUUCGCCUCUCGUUUUCCUCUCCCCCACUUCUAAACCGAUUUUCAAAAACCUUUGCCUUCUCUUCGUCCCUUUUCCGUUCGUCUCUUUUUGCUUGCUUCUUGUGUGCUUGUGUGUUGGAUUGAUCGUUUGUCACGAUGGAUCAAGAUAAUACUAAAUUGUGUGACUUUUCGAAUACCAACAACAAUGAUUUUAUUAGCACUCCGAUUCCUCCUACUACCGAUGCUGAAUCUUGUGAAAUUAAUACCGCUUUGUUGAAUCUUGUUAUGAAAGAUCAAUUUUUUGGCCUUCCCAGUGAAGAUGCCGCUACCCAUCUAAACAACUUUGUUGAUUUGUGUGAUAUACAAAAGAAGAAACAUGUGGAUAAUUAUAUUGUUAAAUUGAAGCUAUUUCCGUUUUUGCUUAGAGAUCGUGCUAAAAUUGGUUCUCUUCUUUGCCUAAAAAUAGUAUUGAUUCAUGGAAUAAGUGCAAAGAUGCUUUUAUCUCGUAAGUAUUUUCCUCCCGCUAAGGUCAUCUCUCUUAGGAACGAUAUUAUGAAUUUUAAGCAACUUGAUCAUGAGCAUGUUGCACAAGCUUGGGGGAGGAUGAAAUUAAUGAUACGUAAUUGCCCUACACAUGGUUUGAAUUUGUGGAUGAUUAUACAAAAAAAAUUAUGCCGGAUUGAAUUUUGCUUCUAGAAAUCUUUUAGAUUCGGCCGCGGGAGGCAUUUUUAUGGAAAUCACUUUAGGAGAAGCUACUAAACUCCUAGAAAAAAUUAUGGUUAAUUAUUCUCAAUGGCACGCCGAUAGAUCCACGAGUAAAAAGGUUCAUGCGAUGGAAGAGAUUAAUGUUUUGAGUGGAAAGAUGGAUGAAUUUUUGAAAUUGCUUGCUAAUAAAAGUGUUUCUUCUGAUCCUAAUGAUAUGCCUUUGUCCACUUUGAUUGAGAAUAAUAGUGAAUCUAUGGAUGUGAAUUUUGUUGGUAGGAACAAUUUUGGUAACAACGCGUAUAGAGGAAACUUUAAUUCUAGGCCGUUUCCUAGUAAUUCCUCUAAUAAUUAUGGUAAUUCCUACAACAACUCUUAUGGAAAUUUUAAUAAGAUGCCCUCUGAUUUUGAGACUAGUGUUAAAGAAUUUAUAAGUUCGCCAAAGAAUUUCAAUGCUUUGGUUGAAGAAAAUUUGCUUAAGAUUGAUGAGUUGGCUAGGAACGUGGAUAGAACUUCUAUUGAUGUUGAUUCUUUGAAACUUAGAUCUAUUCCACCUAGGCAUGACAUCAAUGAGUCUCUCGAAGCCAUGCGAAUUUCCAUUGAUGAGUGCAAAGAAAGAACCGCUAGGAUGCGUGCUAAAAAAGAUUGCUUUGUGAAAGUGUGUUCUUCUAGUUUUCAUGAUAAUAAUGAUGAAGAUCUAAAAGUGAUUGAUGUGACUCCUAUUAAAUAUUUGUUUUCCAAGAUGAAUCUUGAUAAAUAUGGGACUGGAGAUGAGUCAACUUUAGUUAAAAGGCGUCCCAAUGAUUCGGAGUUUUUAGAUCUUGAUGCAAAAAUUGAUAAAAGUGGGAUUGAAGAGGUCAAAACUUUACAUAGCAAUGAACCCACUAUUUUGGAUUUCAAGGAAUUUAAUUAUGAUAAUUGCUCUUUGAUAGAUUGUAUUUCCUUGUUGCAAUCCGUGUUAAAUUCUCCUCAUGCUUAUAAUCAAAAUAAAGCUUUUACUAAACAUAUCGUUGAUGCUUUAAUGCAAUCCUAUGAAGAAAAGCUUGAACUAGAAGUUUCUAUCCCUAGAAAACUUUAUGAUGAGUGGGAACCUACUAUUAAAAUUAAGAUUAAAUAUUAUGAAUGCUAUGUUUUGUGUGAUUUGGGUGCUAGUGUUUCCACGAUUCCAAAAACUUUGUGUGAUGUGCUAGGUUUCUGUGAAUUUGAUGAUUGUUCUUUAAAUUUGCAUCUUGCGGAUUCCACCAUUAAGAAACCUAUAGGAAGGAUCAAUGAUGUUCUUAUUGUUGCAAAUAGGAAUUAUGUGCCCGUAGAUUUCAUUGUUCUUGAUAUAGAUUGCAAUCCGACAUGUCCUAUUAUUCUUGGUAGACCUUUCCUUAGAAUGAUUCGUGCAAUUAUUGACAUGAAAGAAGGAAAUAUUAGAUUCCAAUUUCCGUUAAGGAAAGGCAUGGAACACUUUCCUAGGAAGAAAAUUAAAUUACCUUAUGAAUCUAUUAUGAGAGCCACUUAUGGAUUGCAUACCAAAGAUGACAAUACCUAGAUCUAUUCUUGCUUUUAUGCCUAGUUAGGGGCGUUAAACGAUAGCGCUUGUUGGGAGGCAACCCAAUUUUAUUUUUGUUCUUUACUUUUUGUUCCUGUUUAGUAAUAAAUAAUUCAUCUAGCCUCUGUUCUGAUUGUGUUUUUUAUGUUUUAGUUAGUGUUUGUGCCAAGUAAAGCCUUUAGGAUCUUCUUGGGUGAUUGUUGUUUGAUCUUGCUGAUAAAAACAGAAAGUAUGCGCUCACGAAAAUAAUUAAAAUUUUAUAACAGAGAGCGCUAAAAUACCAAUUCCAACUGCAGUAGAUCAAUAUACUUUUUAUCCUGGUCGUCCUAAUUUUUCAGAAUUUUUGGAGUUACCGAAGUAUUCGAAACAUCCAGAUUGCUACAGACUGUUCUGUUUUUGACAGAUUCUGUUUUUCGUGUGUUGUUUGCUUAUUUUGAUGAAUAUAUGGCUAGUAUCGGGGGGUAUGAACCAUAGAGAAGUUGGAAUAUAGUAAGUUUAACACCAAUAUAAAUAAAUAAUGAGUUCAUUACAGUACCUUAAAGUGCUGGUUUAUUUUCUUAUACUAACGGAGCUCAUGAGAUUUUUUGUUGAAGUUUUGUGUUGUGAAGUUUUCAAGUUUUUGGGUAAAGAUUUGAUUAAUUUUGGAAUAAGGAUGGCAAGAGCCUAAGCUUGGGGAUGCCCGAGGCACCCCAAGGUAAAAUUCAAGGACAACCAAAAGCCUAAGCUUGGGGAUGCCCCGGAAGGCAUCCCCUCUUUCGUCUUCGUCUAUCGGUAACUUUACUUGAGGCUAUAUUUUUAUUCACCACAUGAUAUGUGUUUUGCUUGGAGCAUCCUAUAUGAUUUGAGUCUUUGAUUUUUAGUUUACCACAAUCAUCCUUGCUGUACACACCUUUUGGGAGAGACACCAAUUAAUCGGAAUUUAUUAGAAUACUCUAUGUGCUUCACUUAUAUCUUUUGAGCUAGAUAAUUUUGCUCUAGUGCUUCACUUAUAUAUUUUUAGAGCAUGGUGGUGGUUUUAUUUUAUAGAAAUUAUUGAUCUAUCAUGCUUCACUUAUAUUAUUUUGAGAGUCUCUUAGAACAGCAUGGUAAUUUUCUUUGGCUAUAAAAUUAGUCCUAAUAUGAUGGGCAUCCAAGAUAGGUAUAAUAAAAACUUUCAUAUAAAGCGCAUUGAAUACUAUGAGAAGUUUGAUUCUUUAUGAUUGUUUUGAGAUAUGAAGAUGGUGAUAUUAGAGUCAUGCUAGUUGAUUAGUUGUGGAUUUGAGAGAUACUUGUGUUAAAGUUUGUGAUUCCCGUAGCAUGCACGUAUGGUGAGCCGUUAUGUGAUGAAGUCGGAGCAUGAUUUAUUUUUUGAUUGUCUUCCUUAUGAGUGGCGGUCGGGGACGAGCGAUGGUCUUUUCCUACCAAUCUAUCCCCCUAGGUGCAUGCGUGUAGUACUUUGUUUCAAUAACUAAUAGACUUUUACAAUAAGUAUGUGAGUUCUUUAUGACUAAUGUUGAGUCCAUGGAUUAUACGCACUCUCACCCUUCCACCAUUGCUAGCCUCUCUAGUACCACGCAACUUUCGCCGGUACCAUAAACCCACCAUUACCUUCCUCAAAACAGCCACCAUACAACCUAUUAUGGCAUUUCCAUAGCCAUUCCGAGAUAUAUUGCCAUGCAACUUUCCACCGUUCCGUUUAUUAUGACACGACUCAUCAUUGUGAUAUUGCUUUGCAUGAUCAUGUAGUUGACAUCGUAUUUGUGGCAAAGCCACCUACAUAAUUCUUUCAUACAUGUCACUCUUGAUUCAUUGCACAUCCCGGUACACCGCCGGAGGCAUUCACAUAGAGUCAUAUUUUGUUCUAAGUAUCGAGUUGUAAAUUCUUGAGUUGUAAGUAAAUAAAGUGUGAUGAUCUUCAUUAUUAGGCAUUGUCCCAGUGAGGAAAGGAUGAAGGAGACCAUGAUUCCCCCACAAGUCGGGAUGAGACUCCAGACGAAAAAUAAAAAAAGAAAAGAAAAAAAGAGGCCAUAAAAAAAGGCCCAAAUAAAAAAAGAGAAAAAGAGAGAAGGGGCAAUGCUACUAUCCUUUUACCACACUUGUGCUUCAAAGUAGCACCAUGAUCUUCAUGGUAAAGAGCCUCCUAUGUUGUCACUUUCAUAUACUAGUGGGAAUUUUUCAUUAUAAAACUUGGCUUGUAUAUUCCAAUGAUGGGCUUCCUCAAAUUGCCCUAGGUCUUCGUGAGCAAGCGAGUUGGAUGCACACCCACUUAGUUUCUUGUUGAGCUUUCAUACACUUAUAGCUCUAGUGCAUCCGUUGCAUGGCAAUCCCUACUCACUCACAUUGAUAUCUAUUGAUGGGCAUCUCCAUAGACCGUUGAUACGCCUAGUUGAUGUGAGACUAUCUUCUCCUUUUUGUCUUCUCCACAACCACCAUUCUAUUCCACCUAUAGUGCUAUGUCCAUGGCUCACGCUCAUAUAUUGCGUGAAGAUUGAAAAAGUUUGAGAACAUCAAAAGUAUGAAACAAUUGCUUGGCUUGUCAUCGGGGUUGUGCAUGAUUUAAAUAUUUUGUCUGAUGAAGAUGGAGCAUAGCCAGACUAUAUGAUUUUGUACGGAUAGCUUUCUUUGGCCAUGCUAUUUUGAGAAGACAUGAUUGCUUUAUUAGUAUACUUGAAGUAUUAUUGUUUUUAUGUCAAUAUUAAACCUUUGUUUUGAAUCAUUCGGAUCUGAACAUUCAUGCCACAAUAAAGAAAAUUGCAUUGAUAAAUAUGUUAGGUAGCAUUCCACAUCCAAAAUUCUGUUUUUAUCAUUUACCUACUCGAGGACGAGCAUGAAUUAAGCUUGGGGAUGCUUGAUACGUCUCCAACGUAUCUAUAAUUUUUGAUUGUUCCAUGCUAUUAUAUUAUCUGUUUUGGAUGUUUAAUGGACUUUAAUACGCUCUUCUAUAUUAUUUUUGGGACUAACCUAUUAACUGGAGGCCUAGUGCCAGUUUCUGUUUUUUGCCUAUUUUAGAGUUUCGCAGAAAAGGAAUACCAAACGGAGUCCAAACGGAAUGAAACCUUCGGGAGGAUCUUUCUUGGACCGAAAGCAAACUAGAAGACUUGAAGAUGAAGUCGGAGACGCAAAGAGGCGGCCACGAGGCAGGAGGGCGCGCCCCCCACCCUCGUGGGCUCCUCGUAGCUCCACCGACGUACUUCUUUCGCCUAUAUAUACUCUUAUACCCUAGAUCGAUCAAAGAGAGCCACGAAACCACUUUUCCACCGCCACAACCUUCUGUACCCGUGAGAUCCCAUCUUGGGGCCUUUUCCGACGAUCUGCCGGAGGGGGAAUCGAUCACGGAGGGCUUCUACAUCAACACCGUAGCCUCUGUGAUGAAGCGUGAGUAGUUUACCACACACCUUUGGGUCCAUAGUUAUUAGCUAGAUGGCUUCUUCUCUCUCUUUGAUUCUCAAUACAAAGUUCUCCUCGAUGUUCUUGGAGAUCUAUUCGAUGUAAUACUCCUUUGCGGUGUGUUUGCCGAGAUUCGAUAAAUUGUGGAUUUAUGAACUUGAUUAUCUAUGAAUAUUAUUUGGUUCUUCUCUGAAUUCUUAUAUACAUGAUUUGAUAUCUUUGCAAGUCUCUUCGAAUUAUCGGUUUAGUUUCGCCUACUAGGUUGAUCUUUCUUACAAUGGGAGAAGUGCUUAGCUUUGGGUUCAAUCUUGUGGUGUCCUUUCCCAGUGACAGUAGGGGCAGCAAGGCAUGUAUUGUAUUGUUGCCAUCGAGGAUAAAAAAUGGGGUUUAUAUCAUAUUGCUUGAGUUUAUCCCUCUACAUCAUGUCAUCUUGCUUAAAGCGUUACUCUGUUCUUAUGAACUUAAUACUCUAGAUGCAUGCUGGAUAGCGGUCGAUGUGUGGAGUAAUAGUAGUAGAUGCAGAAUCGUUUCGAUCUACUUGACACGAACGUGAUGCCUAUAUUCAUGAUCAUUGCCUUAGAUAUCUUCAUAACUAUGCGCUUUUCUAUCAAUUGCUCGGGAGUAAUUUAUUCACCCACCGUAAUACAUGCUAUCUUGAGAGAAGCCACUAGUGAAACCUAUGGCCCCCGGGUCUCUUUCUUAUUAGGGUUUUUUACAUCUGUGCCCCUGGUUCCUUAGCUCUACUCAUUCAUCCCCGCGCUCUUAACUUUUGCUCAAUUUUCCCCACUCCCUUGCCAGAAACCCUCAUAACUAGGCACAACGGACGUUGCCGUCGGGUCAAAGGCUUGACCGUUAACUCUGACUAGUGGGGCCAUGCUGGACUGUGUCGUCUGUUCGAGCUGACAAGUGGGGCCGCGUUGGGUGGUUUCGCUGUUGGACCGUUGGGCCAUGGUUUCAUUGGGUCGUCCCUUGCAUUAAACGUCUGCGCGCGCCGCCAGGACAGAAGCCUGCUAUGCAUGCACCCAGCAAAUCCUGCCUGCAUGCGUCGAUCGAGCCUGCAUGCGCCGAUGCCACGAUCCCACGAUGCGCCGACCGAGCCUGCAUGCGCCGAUGCGUCCGCCACGAUGCACUGACCGAGCAGCUUUCUUGGACGCCAGCCGCCACGGAUGCAGCAACGGUCACUGCUGCUGGUUCCUCUCUUCUAGCUAGGUGGCUACAUAUUUGUGGCUUGUGUAAAAAAAGAGCCACUCCCUUGCUUAGUUGUACUCAUUCAUCCCUACUAACAAAGCUUGCUUGCAUGCACUAGGUGGUUACUAACAAGCCGAGCUCUUUAAGAAAAUAAUCAACAAAUAUGUAGUCCCAAUAUGUAGAUAGGGCCAACAAUCCCAUAGCACGAUCACAUAGCUCAAACUAGGAAGAGCUUAAUAAUAGAAUAGAUAGAAAACUUAAUAAUAGAAUUUAAGAAAAGGGCCAACAAGCCCAAAAUAACUCCAACAUAGUUCAAUUACAACUUAACAUAAAAUACACUAAAAAAAGAUAGAGGGUUUAGAACCCUAGCCGCCGCCUUCUCCACCUUGCUCCUCCUCCGGGCACCCUUUUCACUGCUCCUCCGGGGCGUUGUCGAUGGGGUACGAAAGAGUGUGCAUGUGCGUCGCGGUGGGGAAGAUGUUGUUGUACUCCGUGUGGUUGGUGAAAGCGAUGAACUCGGAGCCACACCAAAACACCCGGCCGAGGAGGUAGAAGGCGUCGAAUGUGUUGGUGAAGUGGGCAAGGAGAGCAACCACCACCCGGUUUUGGAUGACCUCCUCGACGCGGAACAUCGUUGGAGAUCCCCUCGGGAGGUGGUGGUAGCCGGACGCGAGGAAGAACUCGGUGAAGUUCCUUGCGGUCCGCAGCCUUGAUAUCGCCCACAAACGUAGUGAACGUACACGCCGGUAGGGUAGAGCCUCUCCGGCACAGUGGGUGGGAAGCGGUAGGUUGGUCCAGUGUACUGCAUGGCUGAGGGAUGUGCAGAAGACGGAGAAGGGGUCGAAGAGCAAGAAGGGCAGAUGGAUGAGGGAUGGCAGAGGUACAGGGUGGCUUAAAUAGCCGUACUGCUACGUGUUAUUUGGCUGUGGCAAUAACGGGGUCAAAUGUGAAGUAACCCGUCUUCAAACCCACCGCAACAUCGGGAGUGUACACGCGUGGGAAACGGUGGUUUGAAAAAGAAGAAGAAGAAGAAGAAAAAGAAGCUAAUUGCACGUGUGGGAAUCCGUGGUCAUAUAUAUAUAUAUAUAUUAUAUGAACAAAAAGAGACAAUUUUUGAAUAGUUUGUGGCCAUUUUGCAUGAUAAAGAUAAAUUUGGCCCUUAAAAUUGGUCAUUUGCUACGCAAUGUCAAUUGAUUUCAAACGAUGCAAAAAUACAGAGCCAGCACGUUCACAAAAAACAGAGCAAACGAUGCAAAAAACGAUGCAAAAAUACAGAGCCAGCACGUUCACAAAAAAUAGAGCAAACGAUGCAAAAAAAACGACGCAAUUCGACGGCCCAACCAGAGUUUGGUUUCCUUUUGGGCCCAAUAACUUUUUUCACAGAGUCAGUGGUGGGCGAGCAGCCGAGCACAACGAAUAGGAUCGCCUCUCGCGGAUCGCCCCACGAUCCAACGAUGCAGAGCCGUCCUUGUGAUCCAACGACGCGGAGCCUGCACACAGCCAGCCCACCUAGUUCUUUCUAGAAGGCCAGAUCUGAGGGCUGUCGCUUGGCACGCGGACGGCUGACGUUGGGAGCUAGGGUUAGGCGAAAUCCCGCGGGGUUUAGAGGGGUUUUGAGCUGGUCCACGGGGUUUUGAAGGCUUUGACUGAGCAUAACUAAUUUAAAAAAACGAAAAAAAUAUGAAACCUUCGCCGUGCAUCGUUUUAUAAGACACACUGACGAGGAAAAAUACUAAACUUGGUCUAUGGUCAUUUUCAUGAAAAAACCGUAGUUGGCACGAUCAAGGUCAAAUGAGCACCGUUAAUUUAAAAAAAUCAAAAAAAAUAUAAAACAUGCGCACAAUGUUGCCUUAUGUGACAUGUUACCAACCAAAAAUACUAAACUUGGUCUAUGGUCAUUUUCAUGAGAAAACCUUCACAAAUAUGAGCUAUCACCUACAUGAUUUCACAGAGUUCAAGGAGAGGAGGUGGUGUUACCUUUUGUUUUUUGAAAAAUCACUAAACCUUUAUUUUAAAGUGAAUAAGAAGGAUCUGAAGUUAUUUUUCCAUUUUCAUAUUUCAAAACUUGGCCUAUAGUUUUUAUAUUAAUGUUGUCUUAUGUGACAUGUUACCGACCAAAAAUCAUAAACUUGUCCUAUGGUCAUUUUCAUGAGAAAACCUUCACACAUAUGAGCUAUCACCUACAAGAUUUCAAAAAAUAUGAAGAUUAAUUCAAUAGGUGUUAAUAAAAAACAUUUGGCUCAUUUAGAGUAGGUCCAAAAAAACUUUAUUACAAAUGGGUUGUUUACCCUAGCCUGGGAGCUUAUUUGGAGCACAUUUCUCAAAUUCAAAUUUCUUUGACCUCCUCUAAAUCACCUCAAAUUUUGCACACAUGAUCUCCUACACAAACAUAGAUAGUUGAUAAUACAUCUUCAUUAAAAUGUUGUUUUUUGCUCUGUUAUUGGAAUAUUUGAUAAAAGGGAACCCUUGAUAAAAUGAUGGACUGCAGCAUAUGUGUGAUCAUUGCAGCACCUGAACUUUCAAAACACUGAAACAAAUCAUAGCAGAUAAAUUUAAAAACACAAAAAUACCCAACAUAGAUAGCCACAUGCUUAUAAAAUUCAUCCAACCACCAAAAGGUAACCCACAUCCUCUUCACAAACAUAGUUCACCCACAUAGUUCAGCAAACAACCUAAAGUACUUAAAACACAUCAUAACAUCAGGGAAGGGGAGACAGGACUUUGGCUAGGGCAGCAUGCUGCCCCAUGAUCUUGUAGUCCUCGCCAUGGAUGGCCACAUCUUCUGCAUGAUCUAGAAGGUGAACGAAGCGGCUGGACUUUGGCUUUGGCUUGGUGGUGCAGUAGGGGCAGCACCAAGUUUUGGUCUUGCUCUUGUAGUAGUAGUCCAUGCCCUUGAUCCUGAUCUUCUCCUCUUCCUUCUCUUUGAAGGAGGCGAAGUUGCCGCGGUCCACAUCCACAUCUUCCCCAGAUACAUACUGCACACACGAAUGAAUUACAUUAGUACAUUAUAGAUUCAUGGGAAUACACCAUGUCAAACGAACUAAAUGAACAAUCUAAAUUUCAAGUAGGCUUACCUCAUACUCUUCGUCGUCACCAUACGCUGGAUCCUACGGGUCGUCGAAAUUAUAGUCUAUCUUCCUCCUCUUCCCCCUACCAUCAUCCUCCUGAAUAUACAAUUACAUCCAUCACUAGUCCUAUUUGCAUUUUCCAUUGUCAUGCACACACAUUGAACAACAGAGCUAAUAUAACUACAUAUUGUGGACAUAUUGUGAACAACAGAGCUAAUAUAACUUGAAUCAAAUAACUUGAGUAGCAUUAAAAAACCCAAUCUGUGAGCACUAAAAACAAAUCUAAUAAGCAUCAUAGCAUUAAAAACCCCAAUCUGUUCACAACAUCUAGCAUUUUCGCAACGAAUUUAUCCAAAUCUAAAAACCAAUCAUUGCAGCACCUAAAAUCAUAGUUCACAACAUCUAGCUAGCAUUUUUGCAACGAAUUUAUCCAAGAAACCCUAGUCCAAAAACCCCCACCCCCCCAACCCAUACAAAAAACCCCGGCCCAUCCGUCAAACCAACUACUCUAACCAUCUGAACUACUGUAUGAAUCACAAUCGAACUAACUCUACAAGCUAAGCAAGUGCAAAUACCUGCUCCUCCACGGCAGGCGGCGCAACGGGGGCAUCGGGAUGGACUGUGCCGCUCGACGCCAUCACCUUCUGCAGCGAUGAGGCGGAGCCCGCCACAUCCGCAGCGGUUGCGAGUUUCCCCGCACCGCCAUGGACGCCGCCGACAUCCGCGGUCACCGCGCCCUGACCCUGCAGCUCCACCACAUCUCCGGCCGCUGCGCCGGCGUCGCCACGAGCGUCGGCCAUCUGACAGAUGGAGGCGAUGAAGGUGAGGAAGAGGAUGUGGUGGGGCAGAGCAAGACAGUGUGGUGGAGGCAGUGCAGGAGAGCAAGACGACGCCGGUGGGGGAGAGGAAGAUGAUGCGGCAGCGAGGGGAUUUGGGGGAAAAUGGUAGGGGCGAUGGAGGUGGUUGCCCUCUUUACAUGAUGGGACGUUUCGGGCAUGUCCAUGGACACGUGCUACCCCACGACCACGGUCUUGCAUGCGCCCACGUAUACGCGGCCCCACUCGUCAGCUAACGGUCAAAGCAAUUGACCCGACGGCAACGUCCGUUAUAACCAGUUAUGAGGGUUUCGGGCAAGGGAGUGGGGAAAAGUGAGCAAACGUUAACAGAGUGGGGAUGAAUGAGUAGAGCUAAGGAACCAGGGGCACAGAAAUAAAAAUCCCUUCUUAUUAUAUUGCAUCUCUUUUAUUUACAUCGCAUCUCGUUUACUAUUUUGCAAUCUUUACUUUACAAUCUAUACAACAAAAAUACCAAAAAUAUUUACUUUACUAUCUUUAUUAGAUCUCACUUUUGCGAGUGACCAUGAAGGGAUUGACAACCCCUUUAUCGCGUUGGUUGCAACGUUCUUGAUUGUUUGUGCAGGUACUAGGUGACUUGUGUAUUGUCUCCUACUGGAUUGAUACCUUGGUUCUCAAAAACUGAGGAAAAUACUUACGUUACUUUGCUGCAUCACCCUUUCCUUUUCAAGGGAAAACCAACGCAUGCUCAAGAGGUAGCAUGGCCACAAGCAUAGCAAGCAUCAUCAAAAAGGGACAUUUCAAAUGAAUCAACGGGAUCAUAGCAAUUAUCAUAGCAUUCAUCCUUCGGUAAGAGCGAAGGAACAUUAAAAAAUGUAUGAGUUGGAGGGGUACUCUUAUUAGAAGGUGGGCACGGGUGAUCAAUUCGUUCUUCCUUCGCUUAUUCUUCGCUCUCCUCAUCAUCUUUUUCAUCCAAUGAGCUCACAGUUUCAUCAAUUCCUUCUUCCAUAGACUCCUGCAAAAUAUUAGUCUCUUCUUGGAUAGCGAAGACUUUCUCAAUAAACACAUCAAUAUCGUAAUUGCAUUUAUAAUUAUCAUAGCAAUAUUUAAGGAUAGCAAAAAUUUCAGGUCUAUAAACUUAAUCAUCAAAAUCUUCAAACUUUUCAAACAAAGAUUCAAUUUCAUAAGCACCCUUAAAAGCAACAACUUCUUCUAUUCGUUCCACAUCAUAAUAAUCAUAUAUACCAUUAUCAUAAGAAGCCAAGGUUUCAUUAUCAUUAAAUUCACAUGAAAAGGGAAGAUGUGGAGCAUUCAUCCUAGAGCAACAAGUAAAAUCAUAUCUCUGACAUAAAUUCCAAGCAUACCAAUGCAACGAAUAAAUUUGAUCCCAUAAAAGUUUCCCUUUUUGUGUCAACCGAUAAUCCCUAAAGUAUUCACGUUGAUCCAACAUUACUCCCAUUAUCAUGUUGAAUGGGGUUUUCUCAGGAUUAUCAAAGUAGUGCAUAAUAUCUUUUACAUAACGAGCAUCGAGGGUUUUAGGAGGUUACCCAUCUCCAUGAGUAGCAAGUACCACUAAUUUCUUUGGUGUUUCGUGUUCGAUAUCCAUAACUAAAGAUAGAGAACAACUUAGAACAAUAAAUAAAAACUACUUAGUGAUAAAGCAAACAAGCACACACGAGAAUAUUCACCCCACGCUAUUCCUCCCCGGCAACGGCGCCAGAAAAAGGUCUUGAUAACUCACAAGUAUAGGGGAUCGUUUGUAGCCUUCUUCAAUAAAUAAGAGUGUCGAGCCCAACGAGGAGCUAAAGGCAGAACAAACAUUCCCUCAAGUUCUAUCGACCACCGAUACAACUCUAUGCACACUUGACGUUUGCUUUAUCGGAGACAAGUAUGAAACUAUUUUGUAGGUGUGAUGCUAGAACUAAUUUGCAAGAAUAAAAUGAGAAGUACUUGCAAGAUAAUAAAAUUUAGGUGUAUAGUAAAAAGGUUUGUGUCAACAAGAAAGUUAUUUGUCCCUAGGCAAUCAAUAACAAGUACUGGUAAUCAUUCUUGCAACUUUAUAUGAGGGAGAGGCAUGAGCUAACAUACUUUCUCUACUUGGAUCAUAUGCACUUAUGAUUGGAACUCUAGCAAGCAUCCGCAACCACUAAAGAUCAUUAAGGUCGUGAAACCCAACCAUAGCAUUAAGUAUCAAGUCCUCUUUAUUCCCAUACGUCAUACCCCACCUACUCGGGUUUAAGUUUCUGUCACUCUCGCAACCCACCGUAAGUGAACCAUGAACAUAUUGCAACACCCUACAGCGGAGGCCCCUCACGUUUGCGUGAGAACGGAGGGCACGGUAGGACAGCACCAUAAAUAAAUUAUACAAUCAUACCAACCAAGAUCACGAUUAACCCAUAGGACAAAACGGAUCUACUCAAACAUCAUAGGAUAACCAUAGAUCAUUGGGAAAUAAUAUAUGGAGUUGAGCACCAUGUUUAAGUAGAGAUUACAGUGGGGAGAAGAGGUGUUACACCGCUGCAUAGAGGGGGAGAGAGUUGGCGUUGACGGUAGCAAGAUUGUUGAUGUAGAUCGCCGUCCCGAUCGUUGCCCCGGUGGCACUCCGGCGCCACCGGAAGCGAGGGGGAGAGAGCCCCCCUACUCCUCCUUCAUCCUUGGCCUCCCCCUAGAUGGGGAGGAGAGUUCCCCCUAUGGUCCUUGGUCUCCAUGGCCGCGGAGGGGUGGGAGCCCCUCCGAGAUUGGACCUCCCUCUCUGUUCUCUUCUGUUUCGCGUUUUUAGAUCUGGCCGAAAACCGUUUCUUACAUUCCCGGAGAUCCGUAACUCCGAUUGCGCUGAAAUUUUAACAUGAUUUUUCUCCGGAUAUAAGCUUCCUUGCGCCCGAAGUAGAGUCCAACCAACGUACAGGGUGAGCACAACGCACCACCGCACGCCUGGCUCCUCUGGCGCGUCCUGGUGGGUUGUGCCCUCCAAGGGCCUCCGUUUGCGGUGAUUCCAACUCCCAAAAAUCACAUAUAUUCCAAAAUAAUUCUCCGUGAAAUUUUAUUGCAUUUGUACUUCAUUUGAUACGGAUACUCUGCGAUACAAAAAACAUGUAGAAAACAGGAAUUGGCACUGGGCACUAGAUCAAUAGGUUAGUCCAAUAAAUCAUAUAAAAAGUUGCCAAAAUUAUGUAAAAAUUGUAUAAUAUUGGCAUGAAACAAUCAAAAAUUAUAGAUACGACGAAGACGUAUCAGACAUCUAGUGAAUUUUGCCAUGCAAAUUCACCAAAAAAAUUGCCAUGGUAAGAAAAGUUUGACAUCGUCUUGAAAGAAGGAAGUUGCCAUGGCAAGAAAAGUUUGACAUCGGCUUGGAAAAAGGAACUUGCCAUGGGCAUGUAAGUGAAUUUGCCGUGGAACAUCUACUGAUGAAGUUUGAAAUCGUCUUGAAAAAAGAAGUUGCCAUGGCAAGAAAAAGUUUGACAUCGGCUUGAAAAAAGAAACUUGCCAUGGGCAUGUAAGUGAAUUNNNNNNNNNNNNNNNNNNNNNNNNNNNNNNNNNNNNNNNNNNNNNNNNNNNNNNNNNNNNNNNNNNNNNNNNNNNNNNNNNNNNNNNNNNNNNNNNNNNNNNNNNNNNNNNNNNNNNNNNNNNNNNNNNNNNNNNNNNNNNNNNNNNNNNNNNNNNNNNNNNNNNNNNNNNNNNNNNNNNNNNNNNNNNNNNNNNNNNNNNNNNNNNNNNNNNNNNCUUGAAAAGAGAAACUUGCCAUGGCAAGAAAAGUUUGACAUCGGCUUGAAAAAAACAAACUUGCCAUGGGCAUGUUAGUGAAUUUGUCGUGAGACAUCUAGUAAAUUUUGCCAUGCAAAUUCACAAAAAAAAUUGCCAUGGGCAUGUUAGUGAAUUUGUCGUGAGACAUCUAGUAAAUUUUGCCAUGCAAAUUCACAAAAAAAAAUUGCCAUGGUAAGAAAAGUUUGACAUCGUCUUGAAACAAGAAAGUUGCCAUGGCAAGAAAAGUUUGACAUCAGCUUGAAAAAAGAAACUUGCCAUGGGGAUGUAAGUGAAUUUGCCGUGGAACAUCUAGUGAUGAAGUUUGAAAUCGUCUUGAAAAAAGAAGUUGCGAUGGCAAGAAAAAGUUUGACAUCGGCUUGAAAAGAAAAACUUGCCAUGGCAAGAAAAGUUUGGCAUCGGCUUGAAAAAACAAACUUGCCAUGGGCAUGUUUGUGAAUUUGUCGUGGGAGGUCUAGUGAAUUUGCCAUGGCGAAUUCACUGAAAAAAAAUUGCCAUGGUAAGAAAAGUUUGACAUUGUCCUGUAAAAUUGCCAUGAUGAUCUACUAAAAAUUCGCCAUUGUCUUGGAAAUUAAAGUAAAUUUGACAUGCAAAUACUCCCUCCUUCCAUCUAUAUAGGUCCAAAUGCGUUUUUCGAGGCUAACUUUGACCAAGUGUUAGAGCAAUAAUAUAUGACAUGCAAGUUACACAAAGCAUACCGUCAAAUUCGUACGUGAAAGGAGCUUCCAAUGGUAUAAUUUUCACAUUAUACAUCUCAUGUAUUAUUAAUCUUAUCAAUAGUCAAAAGCGGUCUUGAAAAACACAUUAGACCCUAUAUAGAUGGAAAGAGGGAGUACAUGAAACUAUAAUUUACCAUGGUGUAUAAACUAAAUUUGUAGUUGUCAAUUACUAAAUUUACCAUGAUCAAAAUGAAAAUAAAAUUGCCAUGCUUAAUUAACGAGAAAAUAACAUUUGCCAUGAUUUGUUAACUAAAUUUGCCUUGGUUAAAAUACUAAAAUAACCAUGAUCAAUGAAAUAAAUUUGCCAAGGUUAAUAAAAAUGAAAUUUACCAACUUUAUCAGUAGUAGCGUCGAUUUACAAAGGAACAAAGUGCGAACAAAAUUACUUAGAUGAGUUUCAGAGUCAUGCAUAGCCAUCAAUUAUACCAUGAACCCACACAAACAUUAGUUGACGAAACAUAUUGCAUCUAGAAUCCUGCGACACUAGCAAUAACAAAUGAAAAAUCUUCUGUUGGUACCUGUCGCAGUCUAUGGUGCCCUUGGCAUUGAACCUGACCCCCAGCGCAAGAUCCUGCUACCAACCAAGCCCAUCAGACCCCAGCGCAAGAUACUGCUCACCGCAUAUCAGACCCCCGCACACGAGAGCAGCAGACCAGCCGGCCGCGCACAAGCUGCUCGACGAAUUGCACCCAGGAGAGGAGGGCGGGCCUGGUAGAGGCGGGCGAAGAUGGUAUCCUGGUGGAGGAGGCGACACUCGGUCGAUUGGGUGCACGACACGGCCGUCUCGAGCUCCCUGGUGGCGCAACGACUUGCUUGCACAGAAGAUGAUGCAAGACUGCGCGCGCAGUGCGCCUCCACGCGCUCGAGCCAGGCGCCGCGUGCUCGGCUCCCUCGUCGUCGCCACCGCCGCCGCCGACCUUGAGGAGGAUCAUUGGAGAGUGAGAGGGGGACGGGGUAUGGCAAAGGUUGCUGGCCACCAGCGUCCAUGGCCUCCACCCGCAAAAAUCCGGAGCUCCCUCAUCGAUGGACGGAGGCGGGGAACGGCAGGGCAAGUGGAAGCGGGCUGCGGGGGCCGCCGGAACUGGCCAUAGAGGGUGUGGCGGGCCUGGCCACAGUUGAGCUCGAGCUCGAGGUGAGCCCGCGAGAUCCCAUGGAGGGAGAUUCACUCUUCGCCGACGAGAGGACGCCGCCGGGGAGGACUCCAUCGCGCCCCCCCCCCCCUCCCCCCCACAUCNNNNNNNNNNNNNNNNNNNNNNNNNNNNNNNNNNNNNNNNNNNNNNNNNNNNNNNNNNNNNNNNNNNNNNNNNNNNNNNNNNNNNNNNNNNNNNNNNNNNNNNNNNNNNNNNNNNNNNNNNNNNNNNNNNNNNNNNNNNNNNNNNNNNNNNNNNNNNNNNNNNNNNNNNNNNNNNNNNNNNNNNNNNNNNNNNNNNNNNNNNNNNNNNNNNNNNNNNNNNNNNNNNNNNNNNNNNNGCAGCGCACGCACGAGCCGCUGGGAUGACGUGGCCAGCCGGGAGCGUCAAGAUGUGUGUGUUUCGAUCCAAUGGCAAUGAGCACCUUCGGAACGAGAAGCUAAAACGUGGCACUUUCGGGAUUUAUUGAUUCCGUUCUGAAUUGCCAGCCUCAUAUAAACCUAUGUGAAACUCUCUGUACAUACUCAGGAGCGAUCUUCUACAGCCGUUGGAUGCACCCAUCAGAGGGGUUCCUGGCCGUUAAUCACGCUCUAGCUCAGAGGUGAGAAUGCCAUCAACCAGACUGAAGUGCUUGCCUCCUUAUCGGUAAAGGAUGCAGCGGUACCAGCCUAUAGAACAGAUCUUGUUCAUGUAAGAGCAACUCCAAUGGGAAUACCCAUUUCGUCCACCGCCGUCCGUUUGGGCUAGCGCGGACAAGAACGACGGCCCAAUGCAGAAACCCAUUUUUAUUUUGUGUCCGCACGGACCCAUUUCCGCCUCAAAUUUGAGACACAUUUGGUCUGAAGCGGACACAAAGCGGACGCUUUCUGCGUCUCUCUCGUCCGCCUCCGCCCGAUGCCGGUCCUGCGUGCCCCACCUGCCAUCCACUCACAUAAUAUUUUUUCUCUCUCCCCUCUCUCUCGCGCUAGCCAUGACACAGGUGCUGCCACGCCGCCGCGCUCGCCCUGCUCGGACGCCGCCGUGCUGCCACGCUCGCCCUGCCGGGGGCAAUACAAGCAUCCACGCGAGCUAGCUAGCUUAGUUGCAUGGAUGCCGGCCUUUGCAUGGCGCCCCAUCCUAGCUAUCUAGCUAGCUUCGAUGCAUUGUCGACGCCGGCUCGUGGCGGCGCUCGAGCCACUCGCAUGCCAUUCUGCACUUCCGCCAUGGCUCGGAAGCUCGCUUGCAUGCCUCGGCCACGUCGCCGCUCGCGUCUGACCCGGCCUCGCCUUGCCACGCAGCCUCACGAGCUUGCCAUGGCCUCGUCCCGCCACGCAGAGCGGCCGCCUCUGUCGCUCACGCGCUCGUUCCGGCCUCACCCCACACGCAGCAGGAGCAACAGCUCGCGUGCCCGACCCGGCCUCGCCCCGCCCCGCAGCAGGACGAGCUCGCCAUGGCUCGGGAGCGAACGCGCCCGGCAUGGCCGCGCCCCACCACGCAGUAGGAGCUCGCACGCCCGGCACGGCCGCGCCCCGCCGCGCAGCAGGAGCGCGCAGGCCGGGGCAGAGCAGCGGCGAGCUGCGGCGCGGAGGGGCCUAGCUAGCGCGGCGGCCACGAGCUGUGGUGGGCGGGGCGCGAUCUGUGGCGGGCGGAGCGAGCUAGCGAGGCGGCUGCGGCCGUCGCUGGGCCGGGACGAGCCGCGGCGGGCACGGCGAGUGUCGGGCCCGGGGCCAGGGUGAGCGGGCGCCGGGGAUACGCAGGGCGCAUGAGAGCUGCAGCACGGGAGCCGGGCGGGGCGACGCGGGAGCUCGUUCAUCAGGUGUUCGACUAAAUCCUGACGCGGACAUGCACAAAAUGCGUCUGCCCUACGUUGGGCGUAUAGACAGACCGACCUAAACGAAAAAACGGACACGGAUGGGCCACCCAAACAGACAAAAAAGACAAAAACGAUGUCCAUUUGGAUCGACCCAUUCUAAACUGGUUUUGGCGUCGCCUGAACCAGCGAGAUGGGACUAAUCGCAGCGGCAUGCAGCAGCGCUGCGCUUCCUCUGUCAGCUUUGGAAUGAGGGGCACGGCCCGUGACCCGUGUAUGUGCGCACAUUGCUCAAAGAAAAAGUAGCUCAGCCCAUCUGAAAAAUAUUUGCCUCUCGCGCUUUCCACUCGUUCUCUGUUCCUUCCUGUCGCAAUCAAACGUGGAAGUACUUCUUUGUUAAACAACCAGUGGUACUUCAAAACUGGCCCAAGUGAAGGUGGUUUGGAGAAAUUGAUACCUCCAGCCACUUGUUUUUAUCUCCAUUAUGAACUGUUUUUUUCUAGACAACUUUAUCAUUACUCGAUCAAUUCCUUUCUACAGAACUUUAUCAUUACUCGAUCAAUUCCAUUUUUAAAAAUGCUAGUAGAUCAAAAUAGGAUGCAGCAACAACCAGAAACUAUUCACAACUGAAAGAGGCCACAAAAUAAAUUUAGCUGAGCUUGAUUUUCCAACAGAAGCGAGUACGGCUGAAAGAGGCAAACACAGAGGUAUAGAUAAAACUGCAUCAUCUAUUCUUCACAUAAAGUUCCGAUGCGAAUCCAUCCGGCUAUAUAAUAACAAAACGAAAAAACAUCAGAAGGAAGUAACAGCAGCAGCAAAGAGAGUUCUCUACAACUCGGCCAACAGACUAAUAACAGCAAGUCUCCGGUGUCUGCGAAUAAACCCGACCACCCCCAACCCCAACACAAAGUAAGUAGCACCAAUUAUCCAUGUCUCCUCUCCCUACUAACCCAUUACAAAAAUUGGUUCCCCUUUAAACCCAUCUAC